AUGAGGUGGAAACGGACAGAGCUGGCGUAUCUGGCCUGUAUUCAGCCUUGGGCCUCGUUGGUGAUUGGUUGGCGCUCUCCAGACUGGGACGCUUGCUGGUUUUCCGGCGGGGUUCAUGGUGCAUUUGCAGGUGGUGUGCGCUGAGGCGCCCGGUGCAGCUGCAUGAGAUCGGCUUUGAGGCCAGCUCCGCAAGGGGUAUGGUACCCGGGCCGGGGGAGUGCUGUUUGUGCUGGGUGGAUGUGGGUGGCAAUGGAGUCGGGCUCGUGUGGGCGCCGAGUUGGCAAUGGGUGGCGGCCGCUUGCGACACGUGCCUACGGUCAGUUCGGUCCUGCUCGAGCUCACAUUCGCUCGUUCUCAGUGUAAAAGCCGGUCAUCUGUCCGACCCGUCUUGAAACACGGACCAAGGAGUUUAGCGUGUGCGCGAGUCAUUGGGUGUUGAAAACCUAAGGGCGCAAUGAAAGUGAAGGUGCCCUCACGGGGCUGAUGUGCGAUCCUGGUGCACUGCGGUGCCUGGGCGCAGCAUGGUCCCGUCCCGAUCGCAUGCGAUGGGGCGGAGACAGAGCGUACGCGCUGAGACCCGAAAGAUGGUGAACUAUUCCUGAGCAGGACGAAGCCAGAGGAAACUCUGGUGGAAGUCCGAAGCGAUUCUGACGUGCAAAUCGAU
rnacentral:rRNA from 1 species